GACGAACGCUGGCGGCGUGCCUAAUACAUGCAAGUUGAGCGCUGAAGGUUGGUACUUGUACCGACUGGAUGAGCAGCGAACGGGUGAGUAACGCGUGGGGAAUCUGCCUUUGAGCGGGGGACAACAUUUGGAAACGAAUGCUAAUACCGCAUAAAAACUUUAAACACAAGUUUUAAGUUUGAAAGAUGCAAUUGCAUCACUCAGAGAUGAUCCCGCGUUGUAUUAGCUAGUUGGUGAGGUAAAGGCUCACCAAGGCGAUGAUACAUAGCCGACCUGAGAGGGUGAUCGGCCACAUUGGGACUGAGACACGGCCCAAACUCCUACGGGAGGCAGCAGUAGGGAAUCUUCGGCAAUGGACGAAAGUCUGACCGAGCAACGCCGCGUGAGUGAAGAAGGUUUUCGGAUCGUAAAACUCUGUUGGUAGAGAAGAACGUUGGUGAGAGUGGAAAGCUCAUCAAGUGACGGUAACUACCCAGAAAGGGACGGCUAACUACG
rnacentral:rRNA from 1 species